AGAGUUUGAUCCUGGCUCAGGACGAACGCUGGCGGCGUGCCUAACACAUGCAAGUCGAACGGAACUUUUUUAAAAGAUUUCUUCGGAAUGAUUUUGAUUAAGUUUAGUGGCGGACGGGUGAGUAACGCGUGAGUAACCUGCCUCUAAGAGGGGAAUAACAUUCUGAAAAGAAUGCUAAUACCGCAUAACAUAUAUUUAUCACAUGGUAGAUAUAUCAAAGAUUUAUCGCUUAGAGAUGGACUCGCGUCCGAUUAGUUAGUUGGUGAGGUAACGGCUCACCAAGACUGCGAUCGGUAGCCGGACUGAGAGGUUGAACGGCCACAUUGGGACUGAGACACGGCCCAGACUCCUACGGGAGGCAGCAGUGGGGGAUAUUGCGCAAUGGGGGAAACCCUGACGCAGCAACGCCGCGUGAAGGAUGAAGGUCUUCGGAUUGUAAACUUCUUUUAUUAAGGACGAAGAAAGUGACGGUACUUAAUGAAUAAGCUCCGGCUAACUACGUGCCAGCAGCCGCGGUAAUACGUAGGGAGCAAGCGUUGUCCGGAUUUACUGGGUGUAAAGGGUGCGUAGGCGGCUUUGCAAGUCAGAUGUGAAAUCUAUGGGCUCAACCCAUAGCCUGCAUUUGAAACUGCAGAGCUUGAGUGAAGUAGAGGCAGGCGGAAUUCCCCGUGUAGCGGUGAAAUGCGUAGAGAUGGGGAGGAACACCAGUGGCGAAGGCGGCCUGCUGGGCUUUAACUGACGCUGAGGCACGAAAGCGUGGGUAGCAAACAGGAUUAGAUACCCUGGUAGUCCACGCUGUAAACGAUGAUUACUAGGUGUGGGGGGUCUGACCCCUUCCGUGCCGGAGUUAACACAAUAAGUAAUCCACCUGGGGAGUACGGCCGCAAGGUUGA
rnacentral:rRNA from 1 species